rnacentral:tRNA from 1 species
GGGCUAUUAGCUCAGUUGGUACGAGCGCACCCCUGAUAAGGGUGAGGUCGCUGGUUCAAGUCCAGCAUAGCCCA